UACGUAGGGGGCAAGCGUUGUCCGGAUUUAUUGGGCGUAAAGAGCUCGUAGGCGGCUUGGCAAGUCGGGUGUGAAACCUCCAGGCUCAACCUGGAGACGCCACUCGAUACUGCCAUGGCUAGAGUCCGGAAGAGGCGAGUGGAAUUCCUGGAUGUAGCGGUGAAAUGCGCAGAUAUCAGGAGGAACACCAAUGGCGAAGGCAGCUCGCUGGGACGGUACUGACGCUGAGACGCGAAAGCGUGGGGAGCAAACAGG
rnacentral:rRNA from 1 species